AUCCAUACUAAUCUCCUUAUCAAUCAAUUACUUGGCCACACUCUUGGUUCCCUUUCCUGAAAAUAUUCUUUCAUUCUCUACCACAUGGCCAGGCUGAGAAUUCUUCACAUUCCUGUUUUGUUUUGUUUUGAGACGGAGUCUCGCUCUGUCACCAGGCUGGAGUGCAGUGGCGCAAUCUUGGCUCACCGCAAUCUCCACCUCCCUGUUUCAAGCGAUUCUCCGGCCUCAGUCUCCCGAGUAGCUGGGACUACAGGCACAUGCCACCACGCCCAGCUAAUUUUUGUAUUUCUUUUUUUAAUAGAGACGGGGUUUCAUUAUAUUAUUCAGGCUGGUCUAGAACUCCUGACCUCAGGUGAUCCAUCUGCCUUGACCUCCCAAAGUGCUGGGAUUACAGGUGUGAGCCACCACACCCGGCCUGGCUUCUUUCACUUAACAUAAUGUCUUCAAGGUCAUCCGUGUUGUAGCAUAUGAAGGUAGCUGUCAAUUAUGAGCAGCCUAUGGAGAGGCCUACACUAUGAGAAACGGAGGUCUUUGGAAGUCCUGAGUGGAGAAAAACUGAUGCUUCCUGCCAAUUACUAGGUCUGUGAGUCUUCUUAGAAGCAGAUUCUCUAGCUCCAGGCAAGCCUUUUGGCAACUUUAGUCCCUGCUGACAUCCUGAGUGCAACCUUAACUACAAAGCCGAACUGCUCCCAAAUUCCUGACUUUUGAGAUAGAAUCUCGCUCUGUUGCCCAGGCUGGAGUGCAGUGGGGCAAUCUCGGCUCCCUGCAACCUCAGCCUCCCAAGUAGCUGGGAUUACAGGCAUGCACCACCACGCCAGGUAAUUUUUAUAUUUUUAGUAAAGAUGAGUUUUCACUGUGUUGGCCAAGAUGGUCUCAAACUCUUAACCUCAAGUGAUUCACUCACCUCAGCCUCCCAAAGUGCUGGGAUUAUAGGUGUGAGCCACUGUGUCCAACCAACAUUUGUUGUUUUAAGCUUCUAAGUUUUGGAAUAACUUGUUAUGCAGGAAUAAAUAACUAAUAGGAGCGGGCCCACCCUUCUAGGAGAAUUGGGCAAGAGAAAGAUGAGCAGCUGUCUCACAUCUAUUGAUUUGCUAUAGUAACUAAUAUUGAAAAGACUAGGUCUUCCCCAGGACUCUGAGACAUGUAAUUGUUUGACGUGGAAUUGAUACUGGCUUAGGUACAGGAUGACAGCCACCUUGUGGCUGUAUAGAGUGUUCUUCAAAAAAGAGCUCACUCUCCCCAGGCCAAAAUAGGUUUAAGACUGGUCUAAUCACAAAAAUGGACUAUUUUGAGCUUGUUACAUAAGGGAGAAUGGAUAACGUCUAGAUGUAUUUUCAUGGUUCCUGUGAUAUAUAUGCUACUUUUAAAAAUUAUUCAUUCUUUACAGAAAGUCCUUCUACUAGCUUCAAGCUUACUCAAACUUCUUUUUUUGUAUUCCAGCAUCCAGAGAAGACCUAUGUGUUUUCUAGAUUGAAUUAAAUAAAGUCUAUUUUGAAAGAUUCAUUAGAUGGCUUACGUUGUGGCAAGAAUACAUGACAAGACUCAGAAAGGUCCUUAAGCUUACCCUGGCCAAAUAUGGGCUGAACUUGAAGGCCAGCUCUGGAGUGACUUCUGGUCAAACCACUUACCAGGCUAUGUUCUCACAUGGUUAUAUCUGGCCAUCCUAACAUAGUAUGGGACCAACUGGAAUUUCAGAUUGGUUGAGUGAUUAUUUAAUGGCAGAUACAGCUUCAUUGAAGCCUUUAUUCUAAUGAGGAAUGUUUAGGGUUGGCAGCCCUGUAGUAGCUCAGUUGGUAUUUAUAAAUGGCGGGGAUUAUAUUUUAGUGUUAAAAUCUCAGUGUGUUCAUAUGCACUGGUGUUUUGUGGGUGUUCUCAGCUUUCGUCUCACACAAUUCAGUGAAACAAAUACCAUAUUAACAUAUUAGCACUGAAGCCUGCUUGCCAUUCUCCAACGCUCAUGUUAGAGUGUUAUCUGGAAUUCAGAAAUUAGCAUUUUCAUGUCCUAUGUCCAGAAAGUGUGUCAUACCCAGUAUAUACAACUUGAAGACC
rnacentral:lncRNA from 1 species